CAAAAGGAAAAACUUUCAUCAGAACGUAACUGGAUCUUGCCUGCAAAACCCAUGCUUCUUGAGAGCAAAAUGGUUUCAAGUGCGAGAUGAGCAUGUAAGAGGAAGUGUUUAUUAGCCAUUUUGCGCAUGGUAGAAGAGCCAACCUAGAUUAGGCUCCACUUUGAAUGCGACGUGGAUAAACUACUUUUUUUUUUUUGGAAGACUUU
rnacentral:misc_RNA from 1 species